UGGUCACAGUCGUUCAUUGAUG
rnacentral:siRNA from 1 species